rnacentral:rRNA from 1 species
GACGAACGCUGGCGGCGCGCCUAACACAUGCAAGUCGAACGAGCGAGAGAGAGCUUGCUUUCUCGAGCGAGUGGCGAACGGGUGAGUAACGCGUGAGGAACCUGCCUCAAAGAGGGGGACAACAGUUGGAAACGACUGCUAAUACCGCAUAAGCCCACGGCUCGGCAUCGAGCAGAGGGAAAAGGAGCAAUCCGCUUUGAGAUGGCCUCGCGUCCGAUUAGCUAGUUGGUGAGGUAACGGCCCACCAAGGCGACGAUCGGUAGCCGGACUGAGAGGUUGAACGGCCACAUUGGGACUGAGACACGGCCCAGACUCCUACGGGAGGCAGCAGUGGGGAAUAUUGCACAAUGGGGGAAACCCUGAUGCAGCGACGCCGCGUGGAGGAAGAAGGUCUUCGGAUUGUAAACUCCUGUUGUUGGGGAAGAUAAUGACGGUACCCAACAAGGAAGUGACGGCUAACUACGUGCCAGCAGCCGCGGUAAAACGUAGGUCACAAGCGUUGUCCGGAAUUACUGGGUGUAAAGGGAGCGCAGGCGGGAAGACAAGUUGGAAGUGAAAUCUAUGGGCUCAACCCAUAAACUGCUUUCAAAACUGUUUUUCUUGAGUAGUGCAGAGGUAGGCGGAAUUCCCGGUGUAGCGGUGGAAUGCGUAGAUAUCGGGAGGAACACCAGUGGCGAAGGCGGCCUACUGGGCACCAACUGACGCUGAGGCUCGAAAGUGUGGGUAGCAAACAGGAUUAGAUACCCUGGUAGUCCACACCGUAAACGAUGAUUACUAGGUGUUGGAGGAUUGACCCCUUCAGUGCCGCAGUUAACACAAUAAGUAAUCCACCUGGGGAGUACGACCGCAAGGUUGAAACUCAAAGGAAUUGACGGGGGCCCGCACAAGCAGUGGAGUAUGUGGUUUAAUUCGACGCAACGCGAAGAACCUUACCAAGUCUUGACAUCCCUUGACAGGCAUAGAAAUAUGUUUUCUCUUCGGAGCAAGGAGACAGGUGGUGCAUGGUUGUCGUCAGCUCGUGUCGUGAGAUGUUGGGUUAAGUCCCGCAACGAGCGCAACCCUUAUGGUCAGUUACUACGCAAGAGGACUCUGGCCAGACUGCCGUUGACAAAACGGAGGAAGGUGGGGAUGACGUCAAAUCAUCAUGCCCUUUAUGACUUGGGCUACACACGUACUACAAUGGCGUUAAACAAAGAGAAGCAAGACCGCGAGGUGGAGCAAAACUCAGAAACAACGUCCCAGUUCGGACUGCAGGCUGCAACUCGCCUGCACGAAGUCGGAAUUGCUAGUAAUCGUGGAUCAGCAUGCCACGGUGAAUACGUUCCCGGGCCU